GACAGCUGCCGACACACUGCCAGGGUGGGGCUUGCACUUGCAUUUUCCCCAUCUCCGAGCUGUCCCUGGGAAGAGUCCAAGGGUUGUCUUUACAGGCCGUGAGAAAUAUGCAUCUGGAAAUAUCAAUUUCUAAGAAAGGGUCCCUCCUUCUGGAUUGAUAAGGGUGGGAACAUUCAAGCUACCGAUAAGACCUCUGCACCCAGCUCCUGUCCCUCCACUCCCUACGGCUCAGCUUUGAAGUUCCAAAAACCCUGCCUCUGUGACCUGAUUGUGUUAUCUUCAUAACCAAGCUCAUGUUGCAUGUGGAUGGCUGCAGCUCAGCAGCUGUAGAAUCUGCACCACCUGUCUUAUGCUGAGAUCCAGCCUGGAGGAACACCCCUCUGUGGAAUGUGGCACUCUCUUGGCAGAAAGAGCAAGAAAGCAGGCAGAAACUCAUGAAGACUCUUAAAGGCUUCUGCUUGGGCACGGGGUAUGUUUCAUCUACUCACAGUCCACUGGCCAACACAAGUCACAUGGUCAAACCCCAAGUCCAUCCGUGAGUCAGGAGUUGUAUCCUCCUCCCUCCUAUGGGAGACACUGCAAGUCACAUGACAUUACAGGGAAAGGGGUCACGUGUAGUCCUCUUAAAAGGAAGGGACAGGCCGUCCGGGAGGUGAGGGGCGCCUCUGCCCGGCCGCCCCUACUGGGAAGUGAGGACCCCUCUGCCAGGCCAGCCGCCCCG
rnacentral:lncRNA from 1 species